rnacentral:rRNA from 1 species
UACAACAGUGAAUGUGAGCUUUGAAAAAACCGCCCGAUCUCGUCCGAUCUCGGAAGCUAAGCAGGGUCGGGCCUGGUUAGUACUUGGAUGGGAGACCGCCUGGGAAUACCAGGUGCUGUAAGCU